CUCACAAACUAAUUAGGUUCAGGUCAGGUAUGUGACUGGGAGAACUCCAAGAAGGGUGGAGGGUGAAGCAGGAAGUGUUGAUGAUUCAACCACGGAUCAUCUUGAAAACAUUCCUUAAGUUGCUCCUUCAGAAACAAGUUUUGGAAAUGAAAGAAAAGUGAUCUUAGUUCUGAAACUCUGAAAAGGGACAACUUUCUGGUAAAAAAAAGGAAGGUGGGAAGGACACUUUAUCUAGGAGGUAGAGAAACAAUUGAUUCAUUCAUCACAAAUUUUAUGAUGACAGUUAAUAGUCUCUAGCAGUGGAGUUGGAAAGGUGAUAACAAGACAAAAUUCCAGUUGCUAUUAUCAGCUCUGAAGACAAUCUUUCCAUCUAGUAAAAAACUAGAGCUGCAAGGGAAAUCUUUAAUCAAUGUCUGCAUAUGUAAUCAGAGGAAUGUAAAAGACAAAUUCCUGUUUUUGUAUUAGAUACUGCAAACCUUUAGUAGUAUACACCUAGGGCUAUGCAAUGCUGCUGUGUGCCAUUCUGUGCUAUGAGGGGUGGCUAAACUUUAACCCACCACCCCCAGCCAUAAAAUCCUCCAACCCUGGAAUGAGCUCCUCAGAAAAGCUGCUGCCAAGCUGAAGUAAUGGAAUGGGAAAGUAGCAUACUCUCCAUUUCCUGACAUAUUCAAAUCGCAACUUCUUAGGAAUUCCCCUAGUCAACACAAGGCAUAAGGCUUAAGGCAGAGUAACCAAAGAAAAGACUAUGGUCCGUGUUAUACAGGUCAUCCUUGGUCCUAUAGUAGGUCUUUUGGAUAAUGUUACUCUACAGUCAGUAGAUGCAAAAAAAGUCCAAGAGAACAAGCUACUAUCUGGAUAGUGCUCACCAGCUUUCAGCUCCAGCUUUUAAUUUUCUGUGCCUCAUCUCUGUUCACUAUGUGACAUGUAGCUGUAAUGACUGCUGGAAGCACCAACCGAAGCAACAUGGCAGAGCUGUGACUGAGACAGAGGUGUGAACUUCAGAGGAUCAGCACAGCCUGUGGCAUAGAUGGUUGUGACCACUGUAAGACCCUCAGUCUGGCAAGCAGCUACGGCACCUGGAAGCAGCAAGAUCCGGCUGGAUCAAAGCACACUCUCUCUGUGCUGGAGCCCCCCUGUAGACUCCACUGAUCUGCACAAUUCAUUUUUUUUCCUCUGUCUGGGAUCUGGUAAUCACCUCCUGCAACCUACUGCUCUCCCAACUAGUGUUUUCUCUGGGAUCUGUGUUGGCCUGGCUAAUGCUUUUAGCUGUACGGAGAUGAAAAGAAGGUAAGGAAAAAUGAAGAAAAAGACCCUGCAGAUGAAAGUCUGAGGCAGUGUUUUUCUUUCCAAAGUGCUGCUACAUUCCCAUAAGCUUGUGGUUUCCUGCAUUCUGCUAGAGGGCUUUUUUUUUUUUUUUUUUUUUUUUUU